rnacentral:lncRNA from 1 species
ACUAAUAUAGUGCGUGUGUGCUCCACAACAAUGUUAACUGAUAUAAAAUCAAAUUUAACACAUAACAAGUCUCUUCGAAGGCAUCAUACAGUGUAAACUCAAGAAAUCCAAAAAUAAGCUAGAUCCAACUAAAAUCAAAAAAUUACCAAUAUUGAGGGUCAACAUGGGAUACUUAUGCUUUAUUUUUUACUUACGGGGGCUUUUUGCUCUUAUUUUCCGUUUUAUUCAUUUUUUUCUUUUGGUUUAUAUACACAUAGCUAUGCAAUGUCUUAUUCCCUUAGGUUUUUCAAUGCUACCUUAACGAGCUUUCGACCAACGACUCCCAGACCAUUAAGACCUUAGGGCGCUAGGUGUAAAGACAAUCCCCUCGGGCUUAGUUACUCAAGUAACAAAGGCCACAAAACUAGACAAGCACACCACGAUGUUUAUUCAUACUUUUUCUUUUUCUUUUUCUUUUUUCUCUUUUUUUUAUAGCUUAUAUACCCCAAAUAUUCCCCCAAACUUAAGUUCUUGUCUAACUUUCGCCAUCACUACUUGUUCUUGUCAUUCUUUCAUUCAAACUAGCAUUAUCCUUUAGAAUCCCAUUAUGUAUCAAUUUACUCAAUCAAUCAACAAGUUAUUUUUACUGUGCUAUCCUUGAUUAUACCAGUUUCAAACAAGAAAAGAUUCAAUUCAUAACAAGAAAUCACAUCAAAGCUCUAAUAAUUAGUACUAUACUUGUCUACUCAAUUCCAAUCUCAUCUUUGGCCAAAAUAAACUGAACUAUCUAAUAGCUGGAAUCAUGCAAGAUGAACAUAGUAACUAACUAAUAUU